rnacentral:misc_RNA from 1 species
GAUGAAGAACGCAGCGAAAUGCGAUAAGUAGUGUGAAUUGCAGAAUUCAGUGAAUCAUCGAAUCUUUGAACGCACAUUGCGCCCUUUGGUAUUCCAAAGGGCAUGCCUGUUCGAGCGUCAUUUGUACCCUCAAGCUUUGCUUGGUGUUGGGCGUCUUGUCUCUAGCUUUGCUGGAGACUCGCCUUAAAGUAAUUGGCAGCCGGCCUACUGGUUUCGGAGCGCAGCACAAGUCGCAUUCUCUAUCAGCAAAGGUCUAGCAUCCAUUAAGCCUUUUUUUCAACUUUUGACCUCGGAUCAGGUAGGGAUACCCGCUGAACUUAAGCAUAUCAAUAAGCGGAGGA